ensembl:lncRNA
AUGCUGUCUCAAAUGGAUGAAGAAAUCAUGACAUCCCUUCGUGAGCUCCCAGAAAUGAUUAAAUUAAUGAAGGAGUGUGUGCAGUGUGUCCGGUCAUUGAUUCCCUCACCCGGUGGGACCCCCUCAUCAGGAAUGUCUGCCUCUAGUACUGUUCCCAGUGAAAUUGAAAUGACACUGUUCUUGUGGAGUUUCCACACACAACUCCGUCGGAAGUGCGAGCGGCCAUCAGGCGCAAGUGCAACAAUGAGCAAUUUAGCAAGAAAAAUUGAAGUUUGCUUGCUGUUCCACAAUGUUUCAAUUUUGUUUUCUUUCAGCAUUCUUUUUUUUUUUUUAAACAUGGUGUAUUUUGUUCUGUUUUUCAAUGCUACAACCAUGUGAGGAUUUAAUAAACACUGUUUGAGUUCAUUAUGUGUAUCUGUG